UUGCUCACUUCAGCAGCACAUAUACUAAAACUGGAACGACGCAGGGAAGAUUAGCAUGGCCCCUGCACAAGCUGACCUAGGCUGACCUAGAAUUCACUAUGUAGUC
ensembl:snRNA U6 U6 spliceosomal RNA